GGGCCGGGGCUCGCUCCCUGCAAGGCCUCGUGUUCCCCCAGCCAGCUGCGUUGGACGUUCCACAAAGGAAAAGCAAAAAAACCUAAUAUGCUACAUCCGAGAAGUUGUUAAUCUUUCACUACCACAUGCAUUGAAAAAUCAGUUCCACCCAGGAAGCAACACUAAAGGCAUAUUGUAAACACUUUUUUUUUUUUAGUUGGAAAGAUAAACUUUUUUCCCCCAUAACUAUUUUUAGUUAGCCGGAGACUGGACUCGAGUUUUUACCUCCGGUCUUGCCCCCUCCACUCCCGCCCUCACUUUCUGUGGGGCUCGACCACAUGGACCAUGCUGGCCAGACUGGCAAACAUGAAACCCACCAGAACCAAAAGAAAAGCUGGAUAUGGGAAGGGGCCGAAGAAGUCCACAUGUUUCUAAAGGGCAAAGAGCCUAGGCUGAGGAGAGACGUUUCAGAUCUCCAGGGGAGAAAGACAGCCGUUAAGGAGUCCGCCGGGCUGCUGCCUGCCUGGCCAGCGGGAGCCUGACUUCAGAUGCCUGCGCCUCCCAAGCUGGCCCCCUCCCACACAGCCAUCGCCAUCCAGUAUUUAGGGAGAAUCCACCGCAUGCCUGAAGGUUGCAGAAGUGAAUUGGAAACCGUUACAAAUGGAAUUGGAACAAAUUUAAAGUUAAGAUGGAAGAGAGAAUAUGUUGAGUUUUCAGAGGAAGUCGGGUACUGCUUCCUUUUCUUGUCUAGGUUUGUUCUUGUCCGAUGGGAUCAGAG
rnacentral:lncRNA from 1 species